rnacentral:misc_RNA from 1 species
GAAAGGUCAUUUGGACUAUUCUUUUGCAUCAGUUUGGCACCCUGAUGGACGAAUUUUAGCCACUGGAAAUCAAGAUACAACAUGCAGGCUAUGGGAUAUAAGGAAUCUAUCCAAGUCCUUGGCUAUGUUGAAAGGAAAUAUGGGUGCAAUAAGAGCACUAAGGUUCACUUCAGAUGGCCGGUUUUUGGCAAUGGCAGAGCCUGCAGACUUUGUUCAUGUCUUUGAUGCAGAAUCUGGGUAUGUCAAGUGCCAGGAGAUUGACAUUUUUGGGGAG